rnacentral:rRNA from 1 species
GGAGGGAAAUUAGUACCGAAGUUCCUGAUUUCACACUGCCAAGAAAAGCCUCUAGUGAGGAAAUAGGUGCCCGUACCGCAAACCGACACAGGUAGGCACGGUGAGUAACCGAAGAUGAUCGGGAGAACUCCCCUUAAGGAACUCGGCAAAAUGACCCCGUAACUUCGGGAGAAGGGGUGCUUCUUUUAAGGAGAAGCCGCAGUGAAAAGGCCCAAGCGACUGUUUAGCAAAAACACAGGUCUCUGCAAAGCCGUAAGGCGAAGUAUAGGGGCUGACACCUGCCCGGUGCUGGAAGGUUAAGGGGAAUGGUUAGGGACUUCGUCCCGAAGCUGUGAACCGAAGCCCCAGUAAACGGCGGCCGUAACUAUAACGGUCCUAAGGUAGCGAAAUUCCUUGUCGGGUAAGUUCCGACCCGCACGAAAGGUGCAACGACUUGGGCACUGUCUCAACGAGAGACCCGGUGAAAUUAUACUAUGCGUGAAGAUGCGCAUUACCCGCGACAGGACGGAAAGACCCCGUGGAGCUUUACUGUAGCCUGAUAUGGAAUGUUGGUACAGCUUGUACAGGAUAGGUGGGAGCCUUAGAAGCCGGAGCGCUAGCUUCGGUGGAGGCAUCCGUGGGAUACCACCCUGGCUGUAUUGACAUUCUAACCCAGAACCGUUAUCCGGUUCGGAGACAGUGUCAGGUGGGCAGUUUGACUGGGGCGGUCGCCUCCCAAAGAGUAACGGAGGCGCCCAAAGGUUCCCUCAGAAUGGUUGGAAAUCAUUCGUAGCGUGCAAAGGCAGAAGGGAGCUUGACUGCGAGACCUACAAGUCGAGCAGGGACGAAAGUCGGGCUUAGUGAUCCGGCGGUGCCGUAUGGAAGGGCCGUCGCUCAACGGAUAAAAGCUACCCCGGGGAUAACAGGCUUAUCUCCCCCAAGAGUCCACAUCGACGGGGAGGUUUGGCACCUCGAUGUCGGCUCAUCGCAUCCUGGGGCUGUAGUCGGUCCCAAGGGUUGGGCUGUUCGCCCAUUAAAGCGGUACGCGAGCUGGGUUCAGAACGUCGUGAGACAGUUCGGUCCCUAUCCGUCGUGGGCGUUAGAAGUUUGAGAGGAGCUGUCCUUAGUACGAGAGGACCGGGAUGGACGCACCGCUGGUGCACCAGUUGUUCCGCCAGGAGCAUAGCUGGGUAGCUACGUGCGGAAGGGAUAAGUGCUGAAAGCAUCUAAGCAUGAAGCCCCCCUCAAGAUGAGACUUCUCAUCAUUUUAAAUGAGUAAGAUCCCUCAGAGACGAUGAGGUAGAUAGGUUCGAGGUGGAAGCGUGGUGACACGUGCAGCUGACGAAUACUAAUCGAUCGAGGACUUAACUAA